CCGUGGGAGACUCGCAGCCCAGACUCGCGGCCCAGGUGGGAGCCUCCUGGCCCAGACUCGCGGCCCAGACUCACGGCCCAGACUCGCGGCCCAGGUGGGAGCCUCGCGGCCCAGACUCGCGGCCCAGACUCGCGGCCCAGGCAGGACCCGCCUCAUGGACGGGCCUUCCCACGGGGGUCAUGGCAGGAUGGCAGGCUC